rnacentral:rRNA from 1 species
CCUACGGGUGGCAGCAGUGGGGAAUAUUGGGCAAUGGGCGCAAGCCUGACCCAGCAACGCCGCGUGCAGGAAGAAGGCUUUCGGGUUGUAACCUUCUUUUAUGAGGGAAGAGCAGAAGACGGUACCUCUUGAAUAAGCUACGGCUAACUACGUGCCAGCAGCCGCGGUAAUACGGAGGUGGCAAGCGUUGUUCGGAUUUACUGGGUGGAAAGGGCGUGUAGCCGGGCUGACAAGUCAGAUGUGAAAGCCCGGGGCUCAACUCCGGGUCUGCUUUUGAAACUGUAUGGCUAGAUUGCAGGAGAGGCGAGUGGAAUUCCUAGUGUAGCGGGGAAAUGCGUAGAUAUUAGGAGGAACACCAGUGGCGAAGGCGGCUUGCUGGACUGUAAAUGACGCUGAGGCUCGAAAGCGUGGGGAGCAAACAGGAUUAGAUACCCCAGUAGUC